rnacentral:rRNA from 1 species
UCCAGACUCCUACGGGAGGCAGCAGUGGGGAAUAUUGCACAAUGGGGGAAACCCUGAUGCAGCGACGCCGCGUGAGUGAAGAAGUAUUUCGGUAUGUAAAGCUCUAUCAGCAGGGAAGAAGAAGGACGGUACCUGAGUAAGAAGCCCCGGCUAACUACGUGCCAGCAGCCGCGGUAAUACGUAGGGGGCAAGCGUUAUCCGGAUUUACUGGGUGUAAAGGGGGCGCAGACGGCGAUGCAAGCCAGGAGUGAAAGCCCGGGGCCCAACCCCGGGACUGCUCUUGGAACUGCGUGGCUGGAGUGCAGGAGGGGCAGGCGGAAUUCCUGGUGUAGCGGUGAAAUGCGUAGAUAUCAGGAGGAACACCGGUGGCGAAGGCGGCCUGCUGGACUGCAACUGACGUUGAGGCCCGAAAGCGUGGGGAGCAAACAGGAUUAGAUACCCCUGUA